rnacentral:lncRNA from 1 species
UACUUUGACAUUCAGAGCACUGGGCAAAAAUCACAUUGCGUAAACAUCCGUAGGGACCAUCGCAAUGCUUUGUUUUAAUUAAACAGUCGGAUUCCCCUUGUCCGUACCAGUUCUGAGUUGGCUCUUUGACGCCCAGGGAAGGCCCCCGAAGGAACCGUUCCCAGUCCAUCCCCCAGCCGGCACGCGGCGACCCGCUCUCGCCACAGGAGUAGCUCGAGCAGUCACGCACCAGUUCUGAGUUGGCUGUUCGACGCCCGGGGAAGGCCCCCGAAGGAACUGUUCCCAAUCCGUCCCCUGGCCGGCACAAGGCGACCCGCUCUCACUGCGGGAGCAGCUCGAGCAGUCCACCGACAGCCGACGGGUUCGGGAAUGGGACCCCCGUGCCCAG